UAAUACGAAGGGGGCUAGCGUUGUUCGGAAUUACUGGGCGUAAAGCGCACGUAGGCGGGUCGUUAAGUCAGGGGUGAAAUCCCGGAGCUCAACUCCGGAACUGCCUUUGAUACUGGCGAUCUAGAGGUCGAGAGAGGUGAGUGGAAUUCCGAGUGUAGAGGUGAAAUUCGUAGAUAUUCGGAAGAACACCAGUGGCGAAGGCGGCUCACUGGCUCGAUACUGACGCUGAGGUGCGAAAGCGUGGGGAGCAAACAG
rnacentral:rRNA from 1 species